GCCUAAAUAGCUCAGUUGGUUAGAGCACCUGACUGUUAAUCAGGGGGUCCUAGGUUCGAGUCCUAGUUUGGGCG
rfam:complete chromosome Acholeplasma brassicae.